rnacentral:misc_RNA from 1 species
GAUGAAGAACGUAGCGAAAUGCGAUAAGUAAUGUGAAUUGCAGAAUUCAGUGAAUCAUCGAGUCUUUGAACGCACAUUGCGCCCCCUGGUAUUCCGGGGGGCAUGCCUGUCCGAGCGUCAUUGCUGCCCUCAAGCACGGCUUGUGUGUUGGGCCCCGUCCUCCGAUCCCGGGGGACGGGCCCGAAAGGCAGCGGCGGCACCGCGUCCGGUCCUCGAGCGUAUGGGGCUUUGUCACCCGCUCUGUAGGCCCGGCCGGCGCUUGCCGAUCAACCCAAAUUGUUAUCCAGGUUGCCCUCGGAUCAGGUAGGGAUACCCGCUGAACUUAAGCAUAUCAAUAAGCGGAGGA